rnacentral:rRNA from 1 species
CCUACGGGAUGCAGCAGUGAGGAAUAUUGGUCAAUGGACGAGAGUCUGAACCAGCCAAGUAGCGUGAAGGAUGACUGCCCUAUGGGUUGUAAACUUCUUUUAUAAAGGAAUAAAACGAGGCACGUGUGCCUUUUUGCAUGUACUUUAUGAAUAAGGAUCGGCUAACUCCGUGCCAGCAGCCGCGGUAAUACGGAGGAUCCGAGCGUUAUCCGGAUUUAUUGGGUUUAAAGGGAGCGUAGAUGGGUUGUUAAGUCAGUUGUGAAAGUUUGCGGCUCAACCGUAAAAUUGCAAUUGAUACUGGCAGUCGUGAGUACAGUUGAGGUAAGCGGAAUGCGUGGUGUAGCGGUGAAAUGCUUAGAUAUCACGAAGAACCCCGAUUGCGAAGGCAGCUUACUAAACUGUGACUGACAUUGAUGCUCGAAAGUGUGGGUAUCAAACAGGAUUAGAUACCCCUGUAGUC